UCCCAGUUUUCCAGAUCUCUUUCACUCCGUUCCGUGCUUGCUCUUUGAAGGGGAAAACUCUAGCUCGUCCGAUAAAUGAAGGCGUUGCAUUUUUAGAAGACUUCUUGCAAACAUCUCUUUCCUCCGGAGUAAUACAAAUGAAUUUUAAAAGAGGGUCUCUGUAAAGUCUGCCUGAAUUCCAAGGUGUGCCUAAAAUCGGGAACUGGCAACACUGUUCGUCAUCGUUCUGUAGCUCUCAAAUCGUAAUAAGGCCUGGAAAGGGAAGAGCUACAUUUUAUACUUUACCCGUGAGGGUGCGGAAUUGUGCUAAGUGCUUUUUACACCUGACCUUCCAUCCGUUUUACAGAUUUGGAGACGGAGGUGAAGUUCAGAGAGGCUGGUAAGCUGCCAGAGGUGGGUGCAACAGUAUCUCCGUCUGACAUGUUCUUCUAGAACAGGUCAGCCAACUUUUCUAUAGCGAGUGGUAAAUAUUUUAGGCUUUGUGGACCAUGCGGUCUCUGGUCCCACACAUGUAACUCUGCCAUUGUGGCCAGGCCAGACACAACCUGUAAAUGAGCGGGCAUGGCUGCCUUGGAGAGGUGAGCUACAUUUGGUCAAUCCCCUCGCUGGAGCUUUGCCACUUCCUGUCAAGAGGUGGAGUCUAGUUCCCCUCCCUUUGAAUCUGGGGGUGGAGAGGGGGUGUAUGAUUUGUUUGUGACUAAGGGGGUGUGAAGGAAGUGACACUAUGACCUCUGAGGCCAGAUCAGAAAAUGUGAUGCAAUUUCUACCUCACUCCCUGGGACAGCUGCCUGCCUAAAGUCUGAGCCACUACGGAGGGGGUCCAGUUGUCCUGAGGCCACCACCUGUAAGGAAGCCCACCUCGGCCAUGUGGAAAGAUCACACAGAGAAGCCUUGAGACUAUAAGGAGAGAGAGAGAGAGAGAGAGAGAGAGAGAGAGAGAGAGAGAGAUGCUGAACCAACCCCCAGUUGUUCUGGUCCUCCACCAGACUGCAGGCUGGGAGAGACCCUGAACCCGAACUCCCCAGCACAAGAUGUCCCCAAAUUCCUGGCCUAGAAACUGAGGAAUAACAAGAUGGUUGCUGUUGUUUCAAGCGGCCUGCUGGCAGGUUUGGAAGGUGGCGCUGGAGACAGCCUGGAAUGAGCAAGCCCAGUGGGGUUGGAGGCUCCUGGCUCAGAAGAGGAGGGACUGAGAUUCAGAAGGCUUCACCCGGAUAAGGGAUCCAGCUCACAAGUUCAUCCUUACAAGGGUUUUCAGUUCUGCUAACAACACCUCUCUCUGUGGUUCUUGAAGGCUCUGGUGUAGGAAGAGUCACCAAAAACAAGCAGACGUUUCUCAGUGCUUCUCAGCUGAUGGAACUGUUCCCAGCAGCCUGGUGCGCAGCCCGAGGAGGUGGCCGGCCCUCAGCUGGGUGAUUCCAUUCCCCAGUCACUGCUUGGUCCAGGCGGCUCUGGUAUUUUUCCUCCCUUCUCCCGGGGCGGCUCCCGGGGCGGCCUCCAGAGCACCCAGACAGCCGCCGCCACAUCCCGCUGCUUCAGAAGCGGAAGUAAGGCGCAUUUAGGACCUUUCUGGGUGAGUGACAGCAUUUGAGAUGAGAUUAACAAAAUGCCAGCGCUUCGGGGAAACCAGACUUUCCCUGUCACCUCUUCUCCACCUUUCCCACGACACAGAAGAUGGGCCAGGCUGAUGUCGGUCUGUGCAUUCGGGUCGUGUCAGCCUCGAAUGUGAGACAGUGGGCGCUGGUGAGCUGGGUGUGAAAGGGCCCUUUGUGAGUGGGGGUCCCAGAGUGCUGGCACGGGGUGAACCUGUAUGCGACUGGCCACUCUGUGCUUGACUGCGCCACCGGGCGUGUGUGCGUGGCUCUGAAUGCAUCGCCCUGGGUGUGGGUCCCCUGAUGGCAGAUGCUCAGGGAGCCUCUGGAAUCUCAGAGGAAACAGUCUGGCUGGGCUGCUGGCUCGUCUUCUCUCAGCCAGUCAGCGCUUGGAGCGUGAUCACUUACCACCUGAAUCCCAUCAAGUUUAAGGUUUACCUUUCUUAGAAGGGAAACGCCUGUUUAUUUUACCUCCACAGAAACAGUUUAAUUUUUAAAGAUUCAAGAUGUCCCCAAAUGUCAUGAUCAAGGCUAAUUUUACAAGAACAGGGGAAACUAACGGAGGAAGAAUAUCCUGCUGCUUUUUAACCCAAGGAAGGGAUUGCUCAUAAUAUUACACCUGAUUUAGGCCAUGUGCACCUGAGGACGUCUGUUAUGGGCUGAGUGUUGGUGUCCUCCCUAAAUUGGUAUGUUGAAACUCUAAGCCCCUAAAAUGAUGGUGUUUAGAGGUGGGGCCUUUGGGAGGUGACUGGGUUUUCGUGAGGUCAUGGUAGGGGUCCUCAUAAUGGAAUUAGUGCCCUUAUAAGACGAGAUGCCAGUAUCUCUUUCUUUCUGUCUUACCACAUAUAAUGAUCAUGUGAGGACACAGCCAGAAGGCCACUAUCUGCCACCCAUGAAGUGAGCCCUCACUAGACACUGACCCUUCUGGCACUUUGAUCUCGGACUUCCCAGACUCCAGAACUGUGAGAAACAAAUGUCUGUUGUAAGCCACCCAGACUAUGGUAUUUGUUACAGCAGCCCCCAAAGACGAAGACAGAAGCUCAGGAACAAAAUAAUCUCCGGGGCACCUAGGUGGCUCAGGUGCUUAAGCAUCCGACUCUGGCUCCAGUCAUGAUCUCACGGUUUGUGAGUUUGAGCCCAAUGUUGGGCUCUCUGCUG